GGUGGCACACAGCAAACGCCAAGGCCACGUCUGCGUCCCCUGCCCUUAACCUGUCUCCAUCUUGGGCUCAGUUUGUCUCCUCUGGUAAUUCCGUUUCUCCCGGCGCAGGAGUUGAGAAAAUGGUGGGGAGGAUGUGGUCUCUGCUUUUGAGAGCCACACAGUCUGGAUGUGCUGACAGACACACACAGACAAGAUUUUAUAGAACGUGAAAAGCUCUAGAGCCACGGCGUCGUGGGCACCCCCGAGAAUGUCUUCACGGCUGCAGCAUAGCGCGAGCAGGCCUCAGAGAACGCGAAAGGACUUUGUCGGACAGAGAUGGGGAUUCCCAGUAGAAGAGACUUCACGAGUGAAGGCCCAGAGUUGCUCAAGGUGGGACAGGACUGGUCCCAGGAGAACAGCCCGGAAGGUGGUGGUGGUGGAUUGCUACCGAGCCUUCCAUGGCUAAAGGAGCGUGGCCUUUGCCCUGAACAGCUGCGGCUCCAACACUUCUGCACUUCUUUUAUCAGGACAUUCUGGGCUGAGCUCAAUUUAUUUUCAAACUCAAUGAAUGGGAAGAAUGACACUUUCCUCAUUUCUGUCUUACUGCAUGACUCUGAGGAGGAGCUAAGAUGCUUCCUCCUCCUGGAGAAAACGAGUUUAUGUACUUUGCAAGCUUUUUGCCUAAUUUGCAUGUUCACAGCAAGUGAAGUGGAGAAUAUAGACCAUCAUCUUGACUUUCUAAAAACACACUCAUUUAUAAUAUCAAGAGAUUCAGAAUUCUUUCACCUGAAUUACAUAAUUAUCCCGAUUUCAUACAAUACAAAAUCAACUACAAAUCAAAGAAGAAAAAAAUAAUUUAUUGUGGUACUUACCAAACUU